rnacentral:rRNA from 1 species
UCCUGGUAGGGUGGCCUGCGGAGGGAUCAUUACCGAGUUUACAACUCCCAAACCCCUGUGAACAUACCUUAAACGUUGCCUCGGCGGAUCAGCCCGCGCCCCGUAAAACGGGACGGCCCGCCAGAGGAACCCCAAACUCUAUUGUCUUUAUUGUAUCUUCUGAGUAAAAAACAAACAAAUAAAUCAAAACUUUCAACAACGGAUCUCUUGGUUCUGGCAUCGAUGAAGAACGCAGCAAAAUGCGAUAAGUAAUGUGAAUUGCAGAAUUCAGUGAAUCAUCGAAUCUUUGAACGCACAUUGCGCCCGCCAGUAUUCUGGCGGGCAUGCCUGUUCGAGCGUCAUUUCAACCCUCAAACCCCCGGGUUUGGUGUUGGGGAUCGGCCGUGUUCUUGUAACCGGCCGGCCCCGAAAUCUAGUGGCGGUCUCGCUGCAGCCUCCAUUGCGUAGUAGCUAACACCUCGCAACUGGAACGCGGCGCGGCCAAGCCGUUAAACCCCCAACUUCUGAAUGUUGACCUCGGAUCAGGUAGGAAUACCCGCUGAACUUAAGCAUAUCAAAGACCCGGAGGGAAA